UAAAUGGUCACUGGGCCUGAAUAAGAACGAAAAAGAUGGAUUUGAUGUCGUGAAAUGGCAAUUCUAAAACUCAGGAGAUAUGUUGGUGUUUCUGAGCUCUUACUCCAGUGUCCACUUGUCCAUAGAAUCACCUUUCACUUCUGGGGUCAGAGGACAGCUCCUGGAAUGAUCUCUCAUCUUACGGCAAAAAGGUAAGAGAACUUGGCUGGGCACAGUGGAUCACUCAUGUGAUUCAAGCAUUUUGAGAGGCUGAGGCAGGUGGAUCACUUGAGGUGAGGAGUUCGAGAUCAGCCUGGCCAAUAUGGUAAAACCCGUCUCUACUAGAAAUACAAAAAAUUAUCUGAGCAUGGUGGUGUGUGCCUGUAGUCCCAGCUGCUUGGGAGGCUAAGGCAUGAGAAUCAC
rnacentral:lncRNA from 10 species